AAUGGGUCAGCGACUUAUAUUCUGUAGCAAGGUUAACCGAAUAGGGGAGCCGAAGGGAAACCGAGUCUUAACUGGGCGUUAAGUUGCAGGGUAUAGACCCGAAACCCGGUGAUCUAGCCAUGGGCAGGUUGAAGGUUGGGUAACACUAACUGGAGGACCGAACCGACUAAUGUUGAAAAAUUAGCGGAUGACUUGUGGCUGGGGGUGAAAGGCCAAUCAAACCGGGAGAUAGCUGGUUCUCCCCGAAAGCUAUUUAGGUAGCGCCUCGUGAACUCAUCUCCGGGGGUAGAGCACUGUUUCGGCAAGGGGGUCAUCCCGACUUACCAACCCGAUGCAAACUGCGAAUACCGGAGAAUGUUAUCACGGGAGACACACGGCGGGUGCUAACGUCCGUCGUGAAGAGGGAAACAACCCAGACCGCCAGCUAAGGUCCCAAAGUCAUGGUUAAGUGGGAAACGAUGUGGGAAGGCCCAGACAGCCAGGAUGUUGGCUUAGAAGCAGCCAUCAUUUAAAGAAAGCGUAAUAGCUCACUGGUCGAGUCGGCCUGCGCGGAAGAUGUAACGGGGCUAAACCAUGCACCGAAGCUGCGGCAGCGACGCUUAUGCGUUGUUGGGUAGGGGAGCGUUCUGUAAGCCUGUGAAGGUGUGCUGUGAGGCAUGCUGGAGGUAUCAGAAGUGCGAAUGCUGACAUAAGUAACGAUAAAGCGGGUGAAAAGCCCGCUCGCCGGAAGACCAAGGGUUCCUGUCCAACGUUAAUCGGGGCAGGGUGAGUCGACCCCUAAGGCGAGGCCGAAAGGCGUAGUCGAUGGGAAACAGGUUAAUAUUCCUGUACUUGGUGUUACUGCGAAGGGGGGACGGAGAAGGCUAUGUUGGCCGGGCGACGGUUGUCCCGGUUUAAGCGUGUAGGCUGGUUUUCCAGGCAAAUCCGGAAAAUCAAGGCUGAGGCGUGAUGACGAGGCACUACGGUGCUGAAGCAACAAAUGCCCUGCUUCCAGGAAAAGCCUCUAAGCAUCAGGUAACAUCAAAUCGUACCCCAAACCGACACAGGUGGUCAGGUAGAGAAUACCAAGGCGCUUGAGAGAACUCGGGUGAAGGAACUAGGCAAAAUGGUGCCGUAACUUCGGGAGAAGG
rnacentral:rRNA from 1 species